rnacentral:lncRNA from 1 species
CACAGAUGAACACGUAACUGACCUUCCUUUUUUCCUUCCCUCUUCAUCAACAUGUGUGAAGGGUCCCCCAGGGCACCCCUGUGCCAGGCAGAGGGUGUUGCAGGGGACUGAGACUGACCUGGUCUCAGGACGCUCACAGCCUGAGGGAGGAGAGAGGAACACUCGCCCCUCUGAGCACUGCAGUGCUGCCCAGGGCCCAUGGGAGCGUCAAGGGGAGAUCUGAGCUGAACUGGGGUCAGGAGGGCUCCCCAGAGGACUGGCUUUGAGCUGAGGAGGGUGAGUCAACAGACAAAGCAGAGGCUCCGGAGAGGCUUGUAUUCACACAGGGCAGCGGCUCGUGCCAAGGCCCUCCUCAGGAGGCUCAGUAAGGAGGCUGGGUGCCUGGGGAGAGCCCAGGGGGGCAGUGGUCUUGCCCAGAGCCUGGGAGGCCUUAGGGCCUUAGUGUGCUUUUUUUUCUUUUUUUGAUACCGGGGAUUGAACUCAGGAGCACUCAGACACUGAGCCCCAUCCCCAGCCCUAUUCUGUAUUUUAUUUAGAGACAGGGGCUCACUGAAUUGCUUAGUGCCUCACUAUUGCUGAGGCUGGCUUUGAACUUGAAACUGUCCUGCCUCAGCCUCUGGAGCCCCUGGGAUCACAGGCGUGUGCCCCUGCUCCCAGCCUUAGCGUGCUUUUACCAGGGAAUGUCUCAGCUGCAGCACGGGGUGUGGGCUGAGCGCAGAGGGGCGCAGGAGACUCUGGGAGGCUGCCCUGUGCAGGAGGGAGGGAGACGGGCAGCUGGACAGCACAGUGGCCGCACAGACAGCACGUGGGUCUGCAGCGUGGUGGGCCUGGUGCAUGCCUGCUUGAGCAUGUGUGUGUGCAUAUCUGAGUGUGCAUGUGACCUCUGUAUGAGAAUCUGUGUGUCUGUGUAAUGCACGCUCCGGGGUGUGAAGUUGUGGGCAUAGUUGUGUAUUGUGUGUGCUUGCAAACGUGUAUGAGUGUGUGUCUGACAGGAUGGGGUGGGCGGGGGCUGGAGGCAGCCAUGUGUGGCCCUGCCCACACUAGCUGAUCCUCAGGCGGUGAGGGAAGCCUGGCUACCGCUGGGGUCCUUAGGUCACUGCCAUUGCACUGGGGUGGGGAGGCUCCCAGGGUCUGGGGAGGUCCGGGUUGGAGGAUCGAGCUGAUGAAUGCAGCUGGCUGGGCAGAUUGGAGGCUGGGCAUAUACCUGGAUUCCCUGGGCCUCUGUCCCUGGCUCUGUGAAAGGACCUUCAAGACCAGUGCCCAGCAAGGUGCAGGCAGCCAGACCCUUCACUAUCUGCUGGUCAAACCCACCUUACACCUGAGGCCCACAUUGGGCAAGGGCUCAAUGCAUGGUCGCCUGGUAAGUCA